GACGAACGCUGGCGGCGUGCCUAAUACAUGCAAGUAGAACGCUGAAGGAGGAGCUUGCUUCUCCGGAUGAGUUGCGAACGGGUGAGUAACGCGUAGGUAACCUGCCUGGUAGCGGGGGAUAACUAUUGGAAACGAUAGCUAAUACCGCAUAAGAGUAGAUGUCGCAUGACAUUUGCUUAAAAGGUGCAAUUGCAUCACUACCAGAUGGACCUGCGUUGCAUUAGCUAGUUGGUGAGGUAACGGCUCACCAAGGCAACGAUACAUAGCCGACCUGAGAGGGUGAUCGGCCACACUGGGACUGAGACACGGCCCAGACUCCUACGGGAGGCAGCAGUAGGGGAAUCUUCGGCAAUGGACGGAAAGUUCUGACCCGAGCAAACGCCCGCGUGAAGUGAAAGAAAGGUUUUUCGGGAUCG
rnacentral:rRNA from 1 species